CGCCCCUCAGUCCGGCACACCCCACCGGAGGGCGGGGACUGCUGUACUGUUGCCUGGCAACCUCUCCCCCGCGUCCUGGCCCUGUGCUUUCAGAGUUUGUCUCAGCCUGCAGCUGGUCCUCAAUCAUCCUUAGGGGCCCGAGUCAGUGGCCUCUGUCAACGCUAAGGAAGAAGCUUCUUGAUGGUGACUGGGCCAGACACUGAGCUGAGUACAGGUCUGAUGUAGCUACUGAGGAAUCCCAGAUGGGAUGUGACGAGCUGCUUCAAGCUCCUGCUGCCGCCUUUGAUGGAAUGACUGUACCUUGGACUGUGAGCUAGAUAAAUCUUCCCACCUUAA
rnacentral:sRNA from 1 species